rnacentral:tRNA from 1 species
UCCCUGGUAGCUCAGAUGGUAAAGAGUCUGCCUGCAAUGCAGGAGACCCAGGUUUGAUCCCUGGCUCAGGAA